rnacentral:rRNA from 1 species
UGGCGAACGGGUGAGUAACACGUGACCAACCUGCCUCUUACAUUGGGACAACCAAAAGAAAUUCUGGCUAAUACCAAAUACUCCGCACAUAUCACAUGAUGUAUGCGGGAAAGCUUUUGCGGUAAGAGAUGGGGUCGCGGCCCAUUAGGUAGACGGCGGGGUAGAAGCCCACCGUGCCGAUGAUGGGUAGCCGGGUUGAGAGACCGACCGGCCACAUUGGGACUGAGAUACGGCCCAGACUCCUACGGGAGGCAGCAGGA